GGGAGUGCGGCGUGCCUAAUACAUGCAAGUCGAACGAACUCUGGUAUUGAUUGGUGCUUGCAUCAUGAUUUACAUUUGAGUGAGUGGCGAACUGGUGAGUAACACGUGGGAAACCUGCCCAGAAGCGGGGGAUAACACCUGGAAACAGAUGCUAAUACCGCAUAACAACUUGGACCGCAUGGUCCGAGCUUGAAAGAUGGCUUCGGCUAUCACUUUUGGAUGGUCCCGCGGCGUAUUAGCUAGAUGGUGGGGUAACGGCUCACCAUGGCAAUGAUACGUAGCCGACCUGAGAGGGUAAUCGGCCACAUUGGGACUGAGACACGGCCCAAACUCCUACGGGAGGCAGCAGUAGGGAAUCUUCCACAAUGGACGAAAGUCUGAUGGAGCAACGCCGCGUGAGUGAAGAAGGGUUUCGGCUCGUAAAACUCUGUUGUUAAAGAAGAACAUAUCUGAGAGUAACUGUUCAGGUAUUGACGGUAUUUAACCAGAAAGCCACGGCUAACUACGUGCCAGCAGCCGCGGUAAUACGUAGGUGGCAAGCGUUGUCCGGAUUUAUUGGGCGUAAAGCGAGCGCAGGCGGUUUUUUAAGUCUGAUGUGAAAGCCUUCGGCUCAACCGAAGAAGUGCAUCGGAAACUGGGAAACUUGAGUGCAGAAGAGGACAGUGGAACUCCAUGUGUAGCGGUGAAAUGCGUAGAUAUAUGGAAGAACACCAGUGGCGAAGGCGGCUGUCUGGUCUGUAACUGACGCUGAGGCUCGAAAGUAUGGGUAGCAAACAGGAUUAGAUACCCUGGUAGUCCAUACCGUAAACGAUGAAUGCUAAGUGUUGGAGGGUUUCCGCCCUUCAGUGCUGCAGCUAACGCAUUAAGCAUUCCGCCUGGGGAGUACGGCCGCAAGGCUGAAACUCAAAGGAAUUGACGGGGGCCCGCACAAGCGGUGGAGCAUGUGGUUUAAUUCGAAGCUACGCGAAGAACCUUACCAGGUCUUGACAUACAUGCAAAUCUAAGAGAUUAGACGUUCCCUUCGGGGACAAGAUGUUGGGUUAAGUCCCGCAACGAGCGCAGACCCUUAUUAUCAGUUGCCAGCAUUAAGUUGGGCACUCUGGUGAGACUGCCGGUGACAAACCGGAGGAAGGUGGGGAUGACGUCAAAUCAUCAUGCCCCUUAUGACCUGGGCUACACACGUGCUACAAUGGAUGGUACAACGAGUUGCGAACUCGCGAGAGUAAGCUAAUCUCUUAAAGCCAUUCUCAGUUCGGAUUGUAGGCUGCAACUCGCCUACAUGAAGUCGGAAUCGCUAGUAAUCGCGGAUCAGCAUGCCGCGGUGAAUACGUUCCCGGGCCUUGUACACACCGCCCGUCACACCAUGAGAGUUUGUAACACCCAAAGUCGGUGGGGUAACCUUUUGAGGAACCAGCCGCCUAAGGUGGGACAGAUGAUUAGGGUGAAGUCGUAACAAGGUGACAG
rnacentral:rRNA from 1 species